CCUACGGGUGGCAGCAGUAGGGAAUCUUCGGCAAUGGGGGCAACCCUGACCGAGCAACGCCGCGUGAGUGAAGAAGGUUUUCGGAUCAUAAAACUCUGUUGUUAGAGAAGAACGUUAAGUAGAGUGGAAAAUUACUUAAGUGACGGUAUCUAACCAGAAAGGGACGGCUAACUACGUGCCAGCAGCCGCGGUAAUACGUAGGUCCCAAGCGUUGUCCGGAUUUAUUGGGCGUACAGCCAGUGCAGGUGGUUUAUUAAGACGGGUGUAAAAGGCAGGUGCUCACCCAUUGUAUGCAUUGGAAACUGGUAGACUUGAGUGCAGGAGAGUGGAGUGGAAUUCCAUGUGUAGCGGUGAAAUGCGUAGAUAUAUGGAGGAACACCGGGGGCGAAAGCGGCUCUCAGGCCUGUAACUGACACUGAGGCUCGAAAGCGGGGGGAGCAAACAGGAUGAGAUACCCCUGUAGC
rnacentral:rRNA from 1 species